AGAGUUUGAUCAUGGCUCAGAUUGAACGCUGGCGGUAUGCCUAACACAUGCAAGUCGAACGGUAACAUUGAAGCUUGCUUCAGAUGACGAGUGGCGGACGGGUGAGUAACGCGUGGGAAUCUACCUAGUAGUUGGGGAUAGCCCGGAGAAAUCCGGAUUAAUACCGAAUAAGGUCUACGGACGAAAAGGUGCCUCUUCUUGAAAGCACUUGCUAUUAGAUGAGCCCGCGUUAGAUUAGUUAGUUGGUGGGGUAAAGGCCUACCAAGACCACGAUCUAUAGCUGGUUUGAGAGGAUGAUCAGCCACAUUGGGACUGAGACACGGCCCAGACUCCUACGGGAGACAGCAGUGGGGAAUAUUGGACAAUGGGCGCAAGCCUGAUCCAGCAAUACCGCGUGUGUGAAGAAGGCCUUAGGGUUGUAAAGCACUUUUAUGUAGGAAGAAGGUGUGUUUGUUAAUAGCAGAUGCAUUUGACGGUACUACAAGAAUAAGGACCGGCUAACUCCGUGCCAGCAGCCGCGGUAAUACGGAGGGUCCGAGCGUUAAUCGGAAUUACUGGGCGUAAAGGGUACGUAGGCGGCUUUAUAAGUCAGAUGUGAAAUCCCCGGGCUUAACCUGGGAACUGCAUUUGAAACUGUAUGGCUAGAGUAAGUGAGAGGUUAGUGGAAUUCCAGGCGUAGCGGUGAAAUGCGUAGAGGUCUGGAGGAACAUCAGUGGCGAAGGCGACUAACUGGCACUAUACUGACGCUGAGGUACGAAAGCGUGGGGAGCGAACAGGAUUAGAUACCCUGAUAGUCCACGCCCUAAACGAUGAGGACUGGCUGUCAGUGCUAUAGACGCAUUGGUAGCGAAGCUAACGCGUUAAGUUCUCCGCCUGGGGAGUACGCCGCAAGGCUGAAACUCAAAGGAAUUGACGG
rnacentral:rRNA from 1 species